UGUAAUAGUAAAAAAAAAUAUAAUUUGUUCAGUGAAAGAAGCAAUUAGGCGCCGUUGUAUGGCUAUUAAAGUACAUAAAGUUGAAGACUCUUCUAUGGAUAGAAGAAGUAUUGAAUUUGAAAAUUGAAUACUCCUGCGAGAGUAAAAUGAAGUGUAACACAAAGCUAAAAUGAAUAGGAUUUGCAUUGUAAAUGAAUCUGAAGGCAAAGUGGCUAAUAAAUUGUAACGAAGCAAAGAAUGAAUUUAUAACACACCAUGUAUGAAGAAUAAACGGAAGUCAUCCGCUCAUAGCAAACGAAUUGCAUUGUAUAACUUCAGGUUAGGAAAUUGAAUGUAAGAAAAACAUAAUAUUGAAAAGAGAAUAUAAGAUGAAACAAUUGCGAAUUAUACAGUAAUAAAAGAUACAGCAUCAGAAGCAUAGAAGAAAAAAUUAUUAGAAACAGAUGCGGCGUAGCUCAAUUGGUAAAUCUGCCUUACGCGAUUUACGAGGGCCGGUAUGUCGCCGCACGGAUCAUGCCUUUAGAGCGUGAUUCAUGGCGAGAACGAUAGAGCGGAUGCUUAGAUCGCGCUCUAUCCUAAAUACACAGAAUAGCUUGCGCAGUGGCUUUAUCGUAACUAAUGAGGUUUUUCCGAAGUGCGAUUAUUGCUAGCUGAAAACCUAAAUAUCAUAAAACUCCUCCGGCCAGCGAUAACCCGCCGGGAAGGAGAACAAAACAAAAAUAAGCAAAACGACGUAAUGUGUUUACGAUCAGAGCCUAUCUCCGAUCGUAAAUACCGAAGGACGGGAGAAAUCCCAAAAAGAGAGCACUAUGGGUGCUAUAAACGGAGCCUAUCUCCGAGCUAGGACAAUAAGUAAUAAAACGGAGAGGAAAAGAUAACACGCCUGCGAGCGUGUUAAUAAUCAUCCCUCGUUCGCCCGUCUGGCUUAGAAUAAAUAAUUGUAAUUUUCUCUCUCUUAUGCUACGCCCUUCUGGGGUAGAUAAGAAGGCAAUGUCUGUAUAUAAGAGAAAACUUGAACAGAAUAAAGGCACUCUCAACUGGACACUCUCAACCAUACCACGGACGUAGGAGCGUCGUGGCGAAGUACCGAACCCCUCUUUUUGUCAUAAACGUAUCACAACCCUGGACAUCGCCCGAGCAUCCUGGACACCAUCGGGAGCACCCUGGACAUCAUCGCCGGCAGAUCCCAGCGCAACAAGCGCUGUAUUUGUUUUACGGUGCUACCAGAAUAGUCUAUAGAAGUAGCUGAAAAUGAGUGGACAGACAAAUCACCACCAGUUUGAACGACUCGUUGAACCAAUGAAAGCGAAUGUAAACAUUGCUCGAGGUAUUUGUGGAGGCAGUUCAAAUAGAAUCCCGGUUAAGGAAAAGUGGGAGGAAUUCAGUGAGGAGACUAAUGCACUGAGAACAUCAAUUGGUCAUGGUUCAGAAUGGCAGAAAAUUUGGGUUGACAUGAGGUGAAAGGUAAAGAAAACACUAGCACACAACAAGCGAGAAUUUAGGGCCCCAGGUGGUAAUACAAUAAAGCUAUUGACGCCGUUAUAACAAGAAAUCGAUGCUAAAAGAAAAUUACAUGCAAAAAAAAUGUUUUGCUAAAAAACGGAAUUCCAUAGAUUGCAGUUGUGAAAAUACAUGAAAAAGUUCAAUUAAAUUGUUCCAUGAUGUCGUUUUUGUUGCACAUCCAUGCAUGCUUUACGCCUAUUAAGCUUCAUUCGUUGAGGGAAUAUCAGUCUUCUCCAAAACAUAA